AUAAACUGGGGGUCAAAUAAUAUAUAAUAGUUUAUGGCUAAAGAGCAUAAUAGUUAUGAAAAUUAAUAGUGUAGAUACCAGGCAGUUUCUAAUUUAAUGAGGGGCUGAAUUGGAAAUACUGCAAUUUGGGAUAUAACUAAUAAUAGUUAUAUAUAGGGGUAAUGGUCCCCAAGGCAAACACAACAAGACUAUUCAGUUUCAAAACCCUAAAGUAGAAAAUUCUCUGGUUCUCUCUAUCCCCAUCAAGAGAGCAAGGUCUUCAGGGUGUUUUGCUGAGGAAGAUCACCCAACCCAUUGGCUCUAUCAUCAUCAUCCCAGGAUUUCAUUAAUGGCAAUUCCCACAGGUACGCUUCCGUCUUUGCCUAUUCAUCAUGUAAUUGACAUGGAUUGUUGAGCACAACGUUAGUAAGGUUUUUCCAACAAUUGGUAUCAGAGUCUACCAUGUUUAAUUCAUGAUGAAAUUCGGUUAUUGUCUUUGUUUUAAGAUGGAAUUUGGGAAUUUUGAUAUAUAUAUUAUGGAAUCCAUAUUUUUAACGUGUUUGAAAAAUUAGGGUUUGUAAUUUGGGAAUUUGAGAAUUUUGAUAUAUAUAUUAUGGAAUCCAUAUUUUUAACGUGUUUGAAAAAUUAGGGUUUGUAAUUUGGGAAUUUUGAUAUAUAUAUUAUGGAAUCCAUAUUUUUAACGUGUUUGAAAAAUUAGGGUUUGUAAUUUGGGAAUUUUGAUAUAUAUAUUAUGGAAUCCAUAUUUUUAACGUGUUUGAAAAAUUAGGGUUUGUAAUUUGGGAAUUUGGGAAUUUUGAUAUAUAUAUUAUGGAAUCCAUAUUUUUAACGUGUUUGAAAAAUUAGGGUUUGUAAUUUGGGAAUUUGGGAAUUUUGAUAUAUAUAUUAUGGAAUCCAUAUUUUUAACGUGUUUGAAAAAUUAGGGUUUGUAAUUUGGGAAUUUGGGAAUUUUGAUAUAUAUAUUAUGGAAUCCAUAUUUUUAACGUGUUUGAAAAAUUAGGGUUUGUAAUUUGGGAAUUUGGGAAUUUUGAUAUAUAUAUUAUGGAAUCCAUAUUUUUAACGUGUUUGAAAAAUUAGGGUUUGUAAUUUGGGAAUUUGGGAAUUUUGAUAUAUAUAUUAUGGAAUCCAUAUUUUUAACGUGUUUGAAAAAUUAGGGUUUGUAAUUUGGGAAUUUGGGAAUUUUGAUAUAUAUAUUAUGGAAUCCAUAUUUUUAACGUGUUUGAAAAAUUAGGGUUUGUAAUUUGGGAAUUUGGGAAUUUUGAUAUAUAUAUUAUGGAAUCCAUAUUUUUAACGUGUUUGAAAAAUUAGGGUUUGUAAUUUGGGAAUUUGGGAAUUUUGAUAUAUAUAUUAUGGAAUCCAUAUUUUUAACGUGUUUGAAAAAUUAGGGUUUGUAAUUUGGGAAUUUGGGAAUUUUGAUAUAUAUAUUAUGGAAUCCAUAUUUUUAACGUGUUUGAAAAAUUAGGGUUUGUAAUUUGGGAAUUUGGGAAUUUUGAUAUAUAUAUUAUGGAAUCCAUAUUUUUAACGUGUUUGAAAAAUUAGGGUUUGUAAUUUGGGAAUUUGGGAAUUUUGAUAUAUAUAUUAUGGAAUCCAUAUUUUUAACGUGUUUGAAAAAUUAGGGUUUGUAAUUUGGGAAUUUGGGAAUUUUGAUAUAUAUAUUAUGGAAUCCAUAUUUUUAACGUGUUUGAAAAAUUAGGGUUUGUAAUUUGGGAAUUUGGGAAUUUUGAUAUAUAUAUUAUGGAAUCCAUAUUUUUAACGUGUUUGAAAAAUUAGGGUUUGUAAUUUGGGAAUUUGGGAAUUUUGAUAUAUAUAUUAUGGAAUCCAUAUUUUUAACGUGUUUGAAAAAUUAGGGUUUGUAAUUUGGGAAUUUGGGAAUUUUGAUAUAUAUAUUAUGGAAUCCAUAUUUUUAACGUGUUUGAAAAAUUAGGGUUUGUAAUUUGGGAAUUUGGGAAUUUUGAUAUAUAUAUUAUGGAAUCCAUAUUUUUAACGUGUUUGAAAAAUUAGGGUUUGUAAUUUGGGAAUUUGGGAAUUUUGAUAUAUAUAUUAUGGAAUCCAUAUUUUUAACGUGUUUGAAAAAUUAGGGUUUGUAAUUUGGGAAUUUGGGAAUUUUGAUAUAUAUAUUAUGGAAUCCAUAUUUUUAACGUGUUUGAAAAAUUAGGGUUUGUAAUUUGGGAAUUUGGGAAUUUUGAUAUAUAUAUUAUGGAAUCCAUAUUUUUAACGUGUUUGAAAAAUUAGGGUUUGUAAUUUGGGAAUUUGGGAAUUUUGAUAUAUAUAUUAUGGAAUCCAUAUUUUUAACGUGUUUGAAAAAUUAGGGUUUGUAAUUUGGGAAUUUGGGAAUUUUGAUAUAUAUAUUAUGGAAUCCAUAUUUUUAACGUGUUUGAAAAAUUAGGGUUUGUAAUUUGGGAAUUUGGGAAUUUUGAUAUAUAUAUUAUGGAAUCCAUAUUUUUAACGUGUUUGAAAAAUUAGGGUUUGUAAUUUGGGAAUUUGGGAAUUUUGAUAUAUAUAUUAUGGAAUCCAUAUUUUUAACGUGUUUGAAAAAUUAGGGUUUGUAAUUUGGGAAUUUGGGAAUUUUGAUAUAUAUAUUAUGGAAUCCAUAUUUUUAACGUGUUUGAAAAAUUAGGGUUUGUAAUUUGGGAAUUUGGGAAUUUUGAUAUAUAUAUUAUGGAAUCCAUAUUUUUAACGUGUUUGAAAAAUUAGGGUUUGUAAUUUGGGAAUUUGGGAAUUUUGAUAUAUAUAUUAUGGAAUCCAUAUUUUUAACGUGUUUGAAAAAUUAGGGUUUGUAAUUUGGGAAUUUGGGAAUUUUGAUAUAUAUAUUAUGGAAUCCAUAUUUUUAACGUGUUUGAAAAAUUAGGGUUUGUAAUUUGGGAAUUUGGGAAUUUUGAUAUAUAUAUUAUGGAAUCCAUAUUUUUAACGUGUUUGAAAAAUUAGGGUUUGUAAUUUGGGAAUUUGGGAAUUUUGAUAUAUAUAUUAUGGAAUCCAUAUUUUUAACGUGUUUGAAAAAUUAGGGUUUGUAAUUUGGGAAUUUGGGAAUUUUGAUAUAUAUAUUAUGGAAUCCAUAUUUUUAACGUGUUUGAAAAAUUAGGGUUUGUAAUUUGGGAAUUUGGGAAUUUUGAUAUAUAUAUUAUGGAAUCCAUAUUUUUAACGUGUUUGAAAAAUUAGGGUUUGUAAUUUGGGAAUUUGGGAAUUUUGAUAUAUAUAUUAUGGAAUCCAUAUUUUUAACGUGUUUGAAAAAUUAGGGUUUGUAAUUUGGGAAUUUGGGAAUUUUGAUAUAUAUAUUAUGGAAUCCAUAUUUUUAACGUGUUUGAAAAAUUAGGGUUUGUAAUUUGGGAAUUUGGGAAUUUUGAUAUAUAUAUUAUGGAAUCCAUAUUUUUAACGUGUUUGAAAAAUUAGGGUUUGUAAUUUGGGAAUUUGGGAAUUUUGAUAUAUAUAUUAUGGAAUCCAUAUUUUUAACGUGUUUGAAAAAUUAGGGUUUGUAAUUUGGGAAUUUGGGAAUUUUGAUAUAUAUAUUAUGGAAUCCAUAUUUUUAACGUGUUUGAAAAAUUAGGGUUUGUAAUUUGGGAAUUUGGGAAUUUUGAUAUAUAUAUUAUGGAAUCCAUAUUUUUAACGUGUUUGAAAAAUUAGGGUUUGUAAUUUGGGAAUUUGGGAAUUUUGAUAUAUAUAUUAUGGAAUCCAUAUUUUUAACGUGUUUGAAAAAUUAGGGUUUGUAAUUUGGGAAUUUGGGAAUUUUGAUAUAUAUAUUAUGGAAUCCAUAUUUUUAACGUGUUUGAAAAAUUAGGGUUUGUAAUUUGGGAAUUUGGGAAUUUUGAUAUAUAUAUUAUGGAAUCCAUAUUUUUAACGUGUUUGAAAAAUUAGGGUUUGUAAUUUGGGAAUUUGGGAAUUUUGAUAUAUAUAUUAUGGAAUCCAUAUUUUUAACGUGUUUGAAAAAUUAGGGUUUGUAAUUUGGGAAUUUGGGAAUUUUGAUAUAUAUAUUAUGGAAUCCAUAUUUUUAACGUGUUUGAAAAAUUAGGGUUUGUAAUUUGGGAAUUUGGGAAUUUUGAUAUAUAUAUUAUGGAAUCCAUAUUUUUAACGUGUUUGAAAAAUUAGGGUUUGUAAUUUGGGAAUUUGGGAAUUUUGAUAUAUAUAUUAUGGAAUCCAUAUUUUUAACGUGUUUGAAAAAUUAGGGUUUGUAAUUUGGGAAUUUGGGAAUUUUGAUAUAUAUAUUAUGGAAUCCAUAUUUUUAACGUGUUUGAAAAAUUAGGGUUUGUAAUUUGGGAAUUUGGGAAUUUUGAUAUAUAUAUUAUGGAAUCCAUAUUUUUAACGUGUUUGAAAAAUUAGGGUUUGUAAUUUGGGAAUUUGGGAAUUUUGAUAUAUAUAUUAUGGAAUCCAUAUUUUUAACGUGUUUGAAAAAUUAGGGUUUGUAAUUUGGGAAUUUGGGAAUUUUGAUAUAUAUAUUAUGGAAUCCAUAUUUUUAACGUGUUUGAAAAAUUAGGGUUUGUAAUUUGGGAAUUUGGGAAUUUUGAUAUAUAUAUUAUGGAAUCCAUAUUUUUAACGUGUUUGAAAAAUUAGGGUUUGUAAUUUGGGAAUUUGGGAAUUUUGAUAUAUAUAUUAUGGAAUCCAUAUUUUUAACGUGUUUGAAAAAUUAGGGUUUGUAAUUUGGGAAUUUGGGAAUUUUGAUAUAUAUAUUAUGGAAUCCAUAUUUUUAACGUGUUUGAAAAAUUAGGGUUUGUAAUUUGGGAAUUUGGGAAUUUUGAUAUAUAUAUUAUGGAAUCCAUAUUUUUAACGUGUUUGAAAAAUUAGGGUUUGUAAUUUGGGAAUUUGGGAAUUUUGAUAUAUAUAUUAUGGAAUCCAUAUUUUUAACGUGUUUGAAAAAUUAGGGUUUGUAAUUUGGGAAUUUGGGAAUUUUGAUAUAUAUAUUAUGGAAUCCAUAUUUUUAACGUGUUUGAAAAAUUAGGGUUUGUAAUUUGGGAAUUUGGGAAUUUUGAUAUAUAUAUUAUGGAAUCCAUAUUUUUAACGUGUUUGAAAAAUUAGGGUUUGUAAUUUGGGAAUUUGGGAAUUUUGAUAUAUAUAUUAUGGAAUCCAUAUUUUUAACGUGUUUGAAAAAUUAGGGUUUGUAAUUUGGGAAUUUGGGAAUUUUGAUAUAUAUAUUAUGGAAUCCAUAUUUUUAACGUGUUUGAAAAAUUAGGGUUUGUAAUUUGGGAAUUUGGGAAUUUUGAUAUAUAUAUUAUGGAAUCCAUAUUUUUAACGUGUUUGAAAAAUUAGGGUUUGUAAUUUGGGAAUUUGGGAAUUUUGAUAUAUAUAUUAUGGAAUCCAUAUUUUUAACGUGUUUGAAAAAUUAGGGUUUGUAAUUUGGGAAUUUGGGAAUUUUGAUAUAUAUAUUAUGGAAUCCAUAUUUUUAACGUGUUUGAAAAAUUAGGGUUUGUAAUUUGGGAAUUUGGGAAUUUUGAUAUAUAUAUUAUGGAAUCCAUAUUUUUAACGUGUUUGAAAAAUUAGGGUUUGUAAUUUGGGAAUUUGGGAAUUUUGAUAUAUAUAUUAUGGAAUCCAUAUUUUUAACGUGUUUGAAAAAUUAGGGUUUGUAAUUUGGGAAUUUGGGAAUUUUGAUAUAUAUAAUGUAAUUUUCAUGCUACACUUUUCAUAAUGGGUCUAUGUCAUUUAGUUGUGUCAGUACGAGUGAUCAUUGAUGGGUUUAGUUAUGCUUAUUAUGACGAAAGCCUCUUUGGUUCCAUGUGCUGAUAUGAUUAAUGGACGGGACAAUUUGGAUUAUACUCAAGGUAAUUAUAAUGACAUUUUUGACGUCAUAAAGUCUAACACACUCCUAAGGAUACAUGUGUGACCAGUGGGAGAUUGUAAGAUUUAUGGGUCACAUAUGUAAUUAAUUAAUAAAGUGUGUUAGGGUCAUUAUAUAAUUAGCCAAUAAACUGGGGGUCAAAUAAUAUAUAAUAGUUUAUGGCUAAAGAGCAUAAUAGUUAUGAAAAUUAAUAGUGUAGAUACCAGGCAGUUUCUAAUUUAAUGAGGGGCUGAAUUGGAAAUACUGCAAUUUGGGAUAUAACUAAUAAUAGUUAUAUAUAGGGGUAAUGGUCCCCAAGGCAAACACAACAAGACUAUUCAGUUUCAAAACCCUAAAGUAGAAAAUUAUCUGGUUCUCUCUAUCCCCAUCAAGAGAGCAAGGUCUUCAGGGUGUUUUGCUGAGGAAGAUCACCCAACCCAUUGGCUCUAUCAUCAUCAUCCCAGGAUUUCAUUAAUGGCAAUUCCCACAGGUACGCUUCCGCCUUUGGCUAUUUAUCAUGUAAUUGACAUGGAUUGUUGAGCACAACGUUAGUAAGGUUUUUCCAACAUUAACUUCCUUACAAUGUUUUGAUCAUAAGAUAAGAUGAAUCAUAUCAUAUAUACUAAUAAAUCCUAUGCACAAAUUUCUAUUUC
rnacentral:lncRNA from 1 species